rnacentral:rRNA from 1 species
AUGUUAGCAAUUGCCACAUUUUAUGAAAUCUGGCAAAUGGAUAUCAAAACUGUGUUCCUGAAUGGAUUUCUGGAAGAAGAGUUGUAUAUGAUGCAACCAGAAGGUUUUGUCGAUCCGAAAGGUGCUAACAAAAUGUGCAAGCUCCAGCAAUCCAUCAUUGGACUGGUGCAAGCAUCUCGGAGUUGGAAUAUACGCUUUGAUGAGUUGAUCAAAGCAUAUGAUUUUAUACAGACUUUUGGAGAAGCCUAUAUUUACAAUAAAGUGAGUGGGAGCACUACAGCAUUUCUGAUAAGUUAUGUGAAUGACAUAUUGUUGAUCGGAAAUAAUGUAUAA